AGCGAACGCUGGCGGCGUGCCUAACACAUGCAAGUCGAACGGUUCUGUUGGGGGCUUGCUCUCGACAGAGUAGUGGCAAACGGGUGAGUAACACGUGGGUAAUCUUCCUUCGAGUGAGGAAUAACUUCGGGAAACCGGAGCUAAUACCGCAUAACAUCUUGGGACGGCAGUUCCAAGAUCAAAGGGGGCGCAAGCUCCCGCUUGAAGUUGAGCUCGCGUCCUAUCAGCUAGUUGGUGAGGUAAUGGCUCACCAAGGCUCCGACGGGUAGCCGGCCUGAGAGGGUGGCCGGCCACACUGGGACUGAGACACGGCCCAGACUCCUACGGGAGGCAGCAGUGGGGAAUAUUGCGCAAUGGACGAAAGUCUGACGCAGCGACGCCGCGUGGGUGAUGAAGGCCUUCGGGUCGUAAAGCCCUGUUGAGGGAGAGAAGCUACUGUCGGUUAAUACCCGGCACGUGGUGAUAGUAUCCCUAGAGAAAGCAACCGGCUAACUACGUAGCC
rnacentral:rRNA from 1 species